rnacentral:rRNA from 1 species
CCUACGGGUGGCUGCAGUGGGGAAUAUUGGGCAAUGGACGCAACUCUGACCCAGCAACGCCGCGUGAAUGAUGAAGGUCUUCGGGUUGUAAAGUUCUGUGAUGGGGGAUGAACACAGUGACGGUAAUACCAUAGCAAGCCAACGCUAACGACGGGCCAGCAGCCGGGGUAAUACGUAGGGGGCAAGCGGUAUCCGGAAUGGCUGGGCGUAAAGGUUGCGAAGGGGGGUUGGUAAGCUCGCGGUGAAAUCCCGGGGCUCCACCUCGGCGAUACCGCCAACACUAGUAGGCAUGAGUGCAGGAGGGGGAAGUGGAAUUCCUGGUGUAGCGGUGGAAUGCGUAGAUAUUAGGAGGAACACCAGUGGCGAAGGCGACUUCCUGGACUGUAACUGACGCUGAGGCACGAAAGCGUGGGGAGCAAACAGGAUUAGAUACCCUAGUAGUC